rnacentral:rRNA from 1 species
GAUGAACGCUGGCGGCGUGCCUAAUACAUGCAAGUCGAGCGAACAGACGAGGAGCUUGCUCCUCUGACGUUAGCGGCGGACGGGUGAGUAACACGUGGAUAACCUCCCUAUAAGACUGGGAUAACUUCGGGAACCCGGAGCUAAUACCGGAUAAUAUAUUGAACCGCAUGGUUCAAUAGUGCAAGCCGGUUUUGCUGUCACUUAUAGAUGGAUCCGCGCCGCAUUAGCUAGUUGGUAAGGUAACGGCUUACCAAGGCAACGAUGCGUAGCCGGCCUGAGAGGGUGAUCGGCCACACUGGAACUGAGACACGGCCCAGACUCCUACGGGAGGCAGCAGUAGGGAAUCUUCGGCAAUGGGCGAAAGCUUGACGGAGCAACGCCGCGUGAGUGAUGAAGGUCUUCGGAUCGUAAAACUCUGUUAUUAGGGAAGAACAAAUGUGUAAGUAAAUAUGCACGUCUUGACGGUACCGAAUCAGAAAGCCACGGCUAACUACGUG